GCUCCUUGCUGUGAUUUAUGUUUUUAACUUUAUUUUAUUUUAUUUUACAUAUUUAUUUUUAGAGUCAGGCUUUUCCUUGGUCACUCAGCUGGAGUGCAAUGGCACCAUCACAGCUCACUGCAACCUCCAACUUCUGGUCUCAAAUGAUCCUCUGGUCUCACCUCAGCCUCCUGAGUUGCUGGGAUGACAGUCAAGAGCCACCGCACCCAGCCCCCUCACUGUUGCAUGAAUGGAUGACUAAGUUGAUUAUGAACCAUUUUGGUAAGGUAUACCUUGGGAUCAAAAAUCAGCAUGGUGAUUUUUGGCGAUGGUCAUUGUGAUGGUUAAUAUGAAUUCUCAACUUGACUGGAGUGAAGGAUGCAAAGCAUUAUUCCUGGGUGUGUCUGUUAACAUCUGACUGGGAGAGGCAGACCCACCCUCAAACUGGGUGGGCGCCGUCUAAUCAGCUGCCAGCACGGCUAGGAUUAAAGCAGCCAGAAGAACAUGGAAGCACUAGACUGGCUGAGUCUUCCAGCCUCAUCUUUCUCCUGUGCUGGAUGCUUCCUGCCCUGGAACAUCGGACUCCAAGUUCUUCUGCUUUUGGACUCUUGGACUUGCACCAGUGGUUUGCCAGGGGCUCUCAGGCCUUCGGCCACAGACUGAAGGUUGCCCUGACGGCUUCCCUACUUUUGAAGUUUUGGGACUCGGACUGACUUCCUGGCUCCUCAGCUUGCAGACGGCCUAUUGUGGGACUUCACCUUGUGAUCGUGUGAGUCAAUACUCCUUAAUAAACUCCCCUUUAUAUACACAUCUAUCCUAUUAGUGUUGUCCCGCUAGAGAACCCUAAUACAGUUACAUAUAUCCCAAAAUUCCCUCACAAGUCCCAUGGGAAGCAGCUACACUGGCCAUCCAUAGAUCAUCUCUCAAUACAGUAAGUCCUGCCCAGCCAGUUGAUUCCACGUUAUUAUUUGGUUGGGAACCAGAUGAAGCCGUUUCCUUGUAUUUAGAGGUCAAAUUGUAGGGGAAAUGUUAAUCUUUCAAUAUUGUAAAAACAUGUAUAAACACUGGACUCCUACUCAGGGCAGCAAAGGGCCACAUGGGAAAAGAAGCUGGUGAUUCCUGAGGCUGGUGGAGGAUCAGCCAUCUGCAGCUGCCACCUUAACCUCACCCUGGACAUGCUCCCACUCCACAGCCUGCAGAAGCAAACUGCCUGUCCUUAUUAUAUUAUUCUUACUUUCUCUUCACAAACAUACAUGACUGAGUCCGUGUACAUUAAAGGCUUAUGGGAUGCAAUUUUCUGUGUUUAAUUGUUUUUUUUUUUCUUUUUUUUUUUUUUUUUUUUUGGAGACAGAGUCUUACUCUGUCUCCCAGGCUGGAGUGCAGUGGUGCCGUCUCGACUUACUGCAACCUCUGCCUCCCGGGUUCAAGCAAUUCUUGUGCCUCAGCCUGGUAUUACAGACAGGCACCACGCCCGGC
rnacentral:lncRNA from 1 species